rnacentral:rRNA from 1 species
UNNAGUUUGAUCAUGGCUCAGAUUGAACGCUGGCGGCAGGCCUAACACAUGCAAGUCGAGCGGAUGAUGGGAGCUUGCUCCCGGAUUCAGCGGCGGACGGGUGAGUAAUGCCUAGNGAAUCUGCCUGGUAGUGGGGGACAACGUUUCGAAAGGAACGCUAAUACCGCAUACGUCCUACGGGAGAAAGCAGGGGACCUUCGGGCCUUGCGCUAUCAGAUGAGCCUAGGUCGGAUUAGCUAGUUGGUGGGGUAAAGGCCUACCAAGGCGACGGUCCGUAACUGGUCUGAGAGGAUGAUCAGUCACACUGGAACUGAGACACGGUCCAGACUCCUACGGGAGGCAGCAGUGGGGAAUAUUGGACAAUGGGCGAAAGCCUGAUCCAGCCAUGCCGCGUGUGUGAAGAAGGUCUUCGGAUUGUAAAGCACUUUAAGUUGGGAGGAAGGGCAGUAAGUUAAUACCUUGCUGUUUAUGACGUUACCAACAGAAUAAGCACCGGCUAACUUCGUGCCAGCAGCCGCGGUAAUACGAAGGGUGCAAGCGUUAAUCGGAAUUACUGGGCGUAAAGCGCGCGUAGGUGGUUUGGUAAGAUGGAUGUGAAAUCCCCGGGCUCAACCUGGGAACUGCAUCCAUAACUGCCUGACUAGAGUACGGUAGAGGGUAGGUGGAAUUUCCUGUGUAGCGGUGACAAUGCGUAGAUAUAGGAAGGAACACCAGUGGCGAAAGGCGAACAACUGGACUGAUUACUUGACACUGA